rnacentral:misc_RNA from 1 species
GUACUACGCGAAAAAUGGCGACCCUGUACUUUUCAACUUCAAAGGCAGCAUCAGGGAGUGUCCUUGCUGGUUUCGUUUAUUAUGCUGUGGCGGUGACGAAGAUGACCUAGAACUAGAAUUAUUACUAGAUGAACCAAGAGUCAAGAACCAAAACUAUUUAGAACACACUGUGACGCAGUACUCCCAAGAAGAGUUUUUCGAACAUUUCAGACUUUCAAGGGGCACAGUAGAUGGUUUGGUUGAAAGAUUUGAGGCUAGUCAAUAUUAUAAUUCACAGGAGGGACAGCAUGCAACCAUAUCUGCUUUACAUCAAGUACUUAUUUAUCUGUGGUACAUUGGACAUCAGACUUGCAGUUUUAGAGAUGUUGGAGAUCGUUUUAAUAUAACAAUCAGCUCUGUCCAUAGAAUUAUUCAUCACAUGACCCUAAUGGGUUUCCAGAUGUAAUAGGCGCAAUUGAUGGUAGCCACGUAAAAAUCGACAAACCAGAAAAUGACCCAGAGUCAUAUAUAAAUAGAAAAGGAUUCUACUCAAUUCAGAUGCAACUUGUAUGUGAUCACAGAAGAAAAAUAACGGACAUAUUUAUAGGAUAUCCGGGUUCAGUCCAUGACAGCAGAGUGUUUCGAAACUCUCCAUUGCACACGAACCUAGAGGAAAGAUGUGGAAG